rnacentral:lncRNA from 1 species
AUCUCCACAUGUACACACAUACACUGAUCAUCCAUCUCCACAUGUACACACAUACACUGAUCAUCCAUCUCCACAUGUCCACACGUACACUGGUCAUCCGUCUCCACAUGUACCACACAUACACUGAUCAUCCAUCUCCACAUGUACACACGUACACUGAUCAUCCAUCUCCACAUGUACACACGUACACUGAUCAUCCGUCUCCACAUGUCCACACAUACACUGAUCAUCCAUCUCCACAUGUACACACGUACACUGAUCAUCCAUCUCCACAUGUACACACGUACACAGAUUUUUGUGGGUUCUUGGCUUGAUUUCUAUUUUGAACCCAUGGCUUGUUCAACAGUGUGAUGGUGAAUUUCUGACAUUUGGGAGUUUCUAAUGAUGGUCAUAGCAGACUGGUCUCUAAAAAUCAAAGUCAGAGAAAGCACACACAUGGUUUUAGCCCUUAAAUUAACUGAUCACACCAUCUGAGGCCCAGCAUGCCCCAUACAUGGUGAAAGGGUUGAAUAAGGUAGGGUUCUCUUGUGUUGUUCUUUCUGGUUUCUGGAAGGUAUGUUUAAAAUCUCCCUCUGACUGUGGAGUACACAAGUCUAAAAUCUGAUUAUGGUUUCCAUCUUCUGGGUAGAUUGGCCUCCAUAGCUCAGGGACAGAGUCUCCUCUGGAGACUUGGGGUGAUGUAGCCAUGUCCUGCCCAGGCAUACUUUUACAUCAUGUUGAAGAAAUAUGAACAAAUAGGACUGCUGGUGUUCCCUGCUCUGUCACCUG